rnacentral:rRNA from 1 species
AUUGAACGCUGGCGGCAUGCCUUACACAUGCAAGUCGAACGGCAGCGCGGGGGCAACCCUGGCGGCGAGUGGCGAACGGGUGAGUAAUAUAUCGGAACGUACCCAAGAGUGGGGGAUAACGUAGCGAAAGUUACGCUAAUACCGCAUACGAUCUAAGGAUGAAAGCAGGGGACCGCAAGGCCUUGUGCUCCUGGAGCGGCCGAUAUCUGAUUAGCUAGUUGGUGGGGUAAAGGCCUACCAAGGCAUCGAUCAGUAGCUGGUCUGAGAGGACGACCAGCCACACUGGGACUGAGACACGGCCCAGACUCCUACGGGAGGCAGCAGUGGGAAUUUUGGACAAUGGGGGCAACCCUGAUCCAGCAAUGCCGCGUGAGUGAAGAAGGCCUCGGUUGUAA